AGAGUUGAUCAUGGCUCAGAUUGAACGCUGGCGGAAUGCUUUACACAUGCAAGUCGAACGGCAGCACGGGGGCAACCCUGGUGGCGAGUGGCGGACGGGUGAGUAAAGCAUCGGAACGUAUCCUGGAGUGGGGGAUAACGUAGCGAAAGUUACGCUAAUACCGCAUAUUCUGUGAGCAGGAAAGCAGGGGAUCGCAAGACCUUGCGCUCUGGGAGCGGCCAAUGUCGGAUUAGCUAGUUGGUGGGGUAAAGGCCUACCAAGGCGACGAUCCGUAGCGGGUCUGAGAGGAUGAUCCGCCACACUGGGACUGAGACACGGCCCAGACUCCUACGGGAGGCAGCAGUGGGGAAUUUUGGACAAUGGGCGGAAGCCUGAUCCAGCCAUGCCGCGUGAGUGAAGAAGGCCUUCGGGUUGUAAAGCUCUUUCGGCGGGGAAGAAAUUGCACGGGUUAAUACCCUGUGUAGAUGACGGUACCCGAAUAAGAAGCACCGGCUAACUACGUG
rnacentral:rRNA from 1 species